rnacentral:lncRNA from 1 species
CAUGCCUGUAAUCCCAGCACUUUGGGAGGCCAAGGUGGGCAGAUCACUUGAGGCCGGGAGUUGGAGACUAGCCUGACCAACAUGGUGAAACUCCAUCUCUACUAAAAAUACAAAAAUAAGCUGCAUGGUGUUGGGCACCACGCAACUAAUUUUUUUUGUAAUCCCAGCUACUCCGGAGGCUGAGGCAGGAGAAUCACUCGAACCAGGGAGACGGACGUUGCCAUGAGCCGAGACCGCACCACUGCACUCCAGCCUGGUGACAGGGUGAGACUCCGUCUCAAAAAAAAAAAAAAAAAAAAGUGAAAAUGGGGACAGCCUGAGGAGUUGCAAGAGUCAGAGAGCCAUGGUUCUUAAACCCAGAGGCAAGUUAAAGGCAAUUGGUGCUUUAGAAAUAACCGGAUGGAGAGAGAGUGCAUCCUGCUGUCCCUCAGCCGUGGAUAGAGGGACCCAGCUUGAGCUCAGGAUGUGCCAUAGCUGAAAUUCAGGUGUAUGUGGGCAACAGGUGGGACCCCCUUGACCAAAACUGUCAGAAUCAGGGUAGAGUGGAUUCCACGCAGAGAAAGCAAACAGGGCUGAUGAUAGUAAUCAAACACACCUGUGCCCCUUCCCCACCACCUUUCCAUUCCCGUGGUCAGUUGGCACAGUCUUACUGACCCUGCUGUGCUGGGCACUGAGAAGACGAGGCCGGGCCCACAGUGCUGACCAUAACCCAUGUGGAAUUCCCUCUUUGAAGGGAAACUGACCAUUGAACUGGAGAUUACAAGUUAGAGUGGAAAGUGACAUGGUGGCGGAGGGCUGUAGAGGGGCAGGGUAUGUGAGCCCAGAGAAAGUCACAUAACCUGGAAGUGAAAGGUGAUAGGGAGUAGGUAAGGUCGGAAGGAUGGAAGGACUCAGUGGGGGAAGCGGGGGUAGCAAAGAGCAUAGGAGAAUGUUCCAGGCAGACAGAAGGGCAGAGGCAAAGGAUUGGAUUUUACCAGUUAGGAGAAUUUUCUAGGGGCUGGAGCACAGAGGGUAUGUGUUUUGGAGGCAGGGUGGGCAGGAAUGUGUCCUCCUUUCCAGAGAGAGUUGGAAGGCAUUUGGGGGUGGUUCUGAGCUGGGGAGACAUAAUCAGAGAUGGGUUUCAGAAGGGGGACUCGGCCUCUUCUUCUAUGGAUCGACUGGGGGGGAGGGAACAAGACUAGAGGCUGGGACCCAGCUAAAAGAAAGAUGCUCCACAUCACCAGUCAUCCAGGAAAUGCACAUCAAAGCCACAUGCAAUAGAUGACUUCACACACCCCAGGAUGGCGAUGACAGCCACCAAAACCACAGAAAAUCACAAAUUUCCGUGAGAAUGUCGGGAAAGUGGAACCUCCUACGUUGCUGAUAGGAAUGCCACAGGGCAGCCAUGGUGAAAAACAGUUUGGUAGCUCCUCAGAGUUAAACAUCUGACCCAGCAGCUCCACUCAUAAGUAUAUGCCCCAAAAAUGGAAAACAGGGACUUAAACAUUUCUUGUACACCAGUGUUCACAGAAGCAUUAUUCACAAUAGCCAAAAAGAAACCACCCAAGUGUCCACCAACUGAAGAAUGGAUCAACAAAAUGUGGUGUAACCAUACAAUGGAGCAUUACUCAGCCAUCAAACAGAAUGAAGCUCUGAUACACGCUACCACAAGGGUGAACCUGAAAAUAUUACGCUACGUGAAAUAAGCCAGACACAAAAGGCCAAUACUGCAUGAUUCUAUCUACAUGAAAUAUCCAGAAAGGGCCAAUCCUUAGAGACAGAAAGCAGGUGAAUGGUUGCCAGGGGCUGGCAAAGGGGAAUGGGACGCCACUGCUUAAUGGGUCUGAAAUUCCUUUUGGGGUGACAAAAAAGUUCUGAAACUAGAGGGUGGUGAUGGUUGUGCAACAUUGUGAUGUACCUAAUGCCACUGAAUUGUACACUUUAACAUAGCUAAGAUGAGCUGGGCGUGGUGGUGGGCACCUGUAAUCCCAGCUACUCGGGAGGCUGAGGCAGGAGAAUCACUUGAACCCAGGAGGUGGAGGUUGCAGUGAGCCGAGAUCAGGCCAUUGCACUCCAGCCUGGGCAACAGGGCGAGACUCUGCCCCGGGGAAAAAAAAAAAA